GUGCCAGCCGCCGCGGUAAUACUGAGGGUGUGAGCGUUAAUCGGAAUUACUGGGCGUAAAGCGCAUGCAGGCGGUUUGUUAAGUCAGAUGUGAAAGCCCGGGGCUCAACCUCGGAACCGCAUUUGAAACUGGCAGGCUAGAGUCUUGUAGAGGGGGGUAGAAUUUCAGGUGUAGCGGUGAAAUGCGUAGAGAUCUGAAGGAAUACCAGUGGCGAAGGCGGCCCCCUGGACAAAGACUGACGCUCAGAUGCGAAAGCGUGGGUAGCAAAAAGGACUAGAAACCCCGUAGGCC
rnacentral:rRNA from 1 species